rnacentral:rRNA from 1 species
CGAGCGAACAGACAAGGAGCUUGCUCCUUUGGCGUUAGCGGCGGACGGGUGAGUAACACGUGGGUAACCUACCUAUAAGACUGGGAUAACUUCGGGAAACCGGAGCUAAUACCGGAUAAUAUUUCGAACCGCAUGGUUCGAUAGUGAAAGAUGGUUUUGCUAUCACUUAUAGAUGGACCCGCGCCGUAUUAGCUAGUUGGUAAGGUAACGGCUUACCAAGGCGACGAUACGUAGCCGACCUGAGAGGGUGAUCGGCCACACUGGAACUGAGACACGGUCCAGACUCCUACGGGAGGCAGCAGUAGGGAAUCUUCCGCAAUGGGCGAAAGCCUGACGGAGCAACGCCGCGUGAGUGAUGAAGGUCUUCGGAUCGUAAAACUCUGUUAUUAGGGAAGAACAUACGUGUAAGUAACUAUGCACGUCUUGACGGUACCUAAUCAGAAAGCCACGGCUAACUACGUGCCAGCAGCCGCGGUAAUACGUAGGUGGCAAGCGUUAUCCGGAAUUAUUGGGCGUAAAGCGCGCGUAGGCGGUUUUUUAAGUCUGAUGUGAAAGCCCACGGCUCAACUGUGGAGGGUCAUUGGAAACUGUAAAACUUGAGUGCAGAAGAGGAAAGUGGAAUUCCAUGUGUAGCGGUGAAAUGCGCAGAGAUAUGGAGGAACACCAGUGGCGAAGGCGACUUUCUGGUCUGUAACUGACGCUGAUGUGCGAAAGCGUGGGGAUCAAACAGGAUUAGAUACCCUGGUAGUCCACGCCGUAAACGAUGAGUGCUAAGUGUUAGGGGGUUUCCGCCCCUUAGUGCUGCAGCUAACGCAUUAAGCACUCCGCCUGGGGAGUACGACCGCAAGGUUGAAACUCAAAGGAAUUGACGGGGACCCGCACAAGCGGUGGAGCAUGUGGUUUAAUUCGAAGCAACGCGAAGAACCUUACCAAAUCUUGACAUCCUUUGACAACUCUAGAGAUAGAGCCUUCCCCUUCGGGGGACAAAGUGACAGGUGGUGCAUGGUUGUCGUCAGCUCGUGUCGUGAGAUGUUGGGUUAAGUCCCGCAACGAGCGCAACCCUUAAGCUUAGUUGCCAUCAUUAAGUUGGGCACUCUAAGUUGACUGCCGGUGACAAACCGGAGGAAGGUGGGGAUGACGUCAAAUCAUCAUGCCCCUUAUGAUUUGGGCUACACACGUGCUACAAUGGACAAUACAAAGGGCAGCGAAACCGCGAGGUCAAGCAAAUCCCAUAAAGUUGUUCUCAGUUCGGAUUGUAGUCUGCAACUCGACUACAUGAAGCUGGAAUCGCUAGUAAUCGUAGGUCAGCAUGCUACGGUGAAUACGUUCCCGGGUCU